rnacentral:rRNA from 1 species
CCACCGCGGGCGUGUGGCGUAUUUUUGUGAGAGCAGGAGUGUGGCCACGCCCGGACUGUGCAUGGUUAGUGCACGGAAGUUGGUGGCAAUAACAGGUCUGUGAUGCCCUUUGAUGUUCUGGGCUGCACGCGCGCUACACUGACCGGGGGAGCGAGUGAGCUGAUCCGAGAGGAUUUGCGAAUCUUGAGAGCCGGUCGUGCUGGGGAUCGACUGCUGCAAUUAUGAGUUGUGAACGAGGAAUUCCUAGUAAGCGCCGAUCAUUAGUUGGCGCUGAUUACGUCCCUGCCCUUUGUACACACCGCCCGUCGCUACUACCGAUUGGCUGCUGUGGUGAGUUUUUUAGAGGGCGACUGAAAAGGAGCGAACCAUGGCAGCUAGAGGAAGUAAAAGUCG